rnacentral:rRNA from 1 species
UACGUAGGUGGCAAGCGUUGUCCGGAAUUAUUGGGCGUAAAGCGCGCGCAGGCGGUCCUUUAAGUCUGAUGUGAAAGCCCACGGCUCAACCGUGGAGGGUCAUUGGAAACUGGGGACUUGAGUGCAGAAGAGGAAAGCGGAAUUCCGACGUGUAGCGGUGAAAUGCGUAGAGAUGUGGAGGAACACCAGUGGCGAAGGCGGCUUCUGGUCUGUAACUGACGCUGAGGCGCGAAAGCGUGGGGAGCAAACAGGA